rnacentral:rRNA from 1 species
GACGAACGCUGGCGGCGUGCUUAACACAUGCAAGUCGAACGGAAAGGCCCUGCUUUUGGGGGGUGCUAGAGGGGCGAACGGGAGUGAAACACGAGAGUCAUCCGCCCGAGAUUGUGGGAUAACUUCAGGAAACGGGGGCUAAUACCGGAGAGGAGCCUCCGCUGCAGGGGGGGGGUGGGAAAGUUUCGGCGGUGGGGGAUGGUCUCGCGGCUUUUCAGUUUGUGGGUGGGGGAGGGGCUUACCAAGGCUUUGACGGGUAGCCGGCCUGAGAGGGUGCCCGGCCACCUUGGGACUGGGGUACGGCCCGGACUCCAACGGGGGGCAGCGGUGGGAAAUAUUGCACAAGGGUCGGAAGCCUAGUGCGGCACCGCCUCUGUGGGAAUACCGGCCUUCGGGUUGUAACCCGCUUUCGCCUGGGACGAACCGUGAGUGACGGUAGUGGGUAAAGAAGCACCGGCUAACUACGUG